CACACGACUCUCGGCAACGGAUAUCUCGGCUCUCGCAUCGAUGAAGAACGUAGCAAAAUGCGAUACCUGGUGUGAAUUGCAGAAUCCCGUGAACCAUCGAGUCUUUGAACGCAAGUUGCGCCCGAGGCCUUCCGGCCGAGGGCACGCCUGCCUGGGCGUCAAGC
rnacentral:rRNA from 1 species